rnacentral:rRNA from 1 species
GACAGAGGUUGCAAACGUUGUUCGGAAUUACUGGGCAUAAAGCGCACGUAGGCGGUCCACUAAGUCAGGUGUGAAAUCCCCCGGCUCAACCGGGGAAUUGCGCCUGAUACUGGUGGGCUCGAGGUCGAUAGGGGUGAGCGGAACUCCAGGUGGAGCGGUGAAAUGCGUAGAUAUCUGAAGGAACACCGGUGGCGAAGGCGGCUCACUGGAUCGAAUCUGACGCUGAGGUGCGAAAGCUAGGGUAGCAAACGGG